rnacentral:lncRNA from 1 species
GAGUUUUGUGCCAUAUCCUCCUUACAUGCCUUCUAUGCCUUAUCCGUACUAUCCACCAUAUCCUAUGUAUCCCUCUUCCCCUAUCCAUCCAAGUGCAGCACACCUAGAGCCAAAUGAACCAGUACUACCACCAGAACCAGUAGCCCCUGUUAUUGACAGACAUGAACCUAGCUCAUCUGGAGGUAAAGUCCAAAUGACGGAAUACUUGAAAUUGGAUGCUCCUAAAUACAACACGGGAGAUGAUCCAUUUGAUUACCUCAGAGCAGUUAGGAUGAUAACCAGUGAAUUGGGAGCAGAUGAUAGGAGAGCCAUUGAGAUGGCAGGUUUCACAUUAAAANNNN